rnacentral:tRNA from 1 species
GGGGUUGUGGCUUAGUGGUAGAGUGCUCGCCUAGUGUGCAUGAGGCACUGAGUUUGAUUCUCAGCACCACCU